rnacentral:ncRNA from 1 species
UAAAUAGAGGAGCGGGCGAGCAAAAGUACCCCGCCGCAAAAGCAAAAUGAGGAAGAUUUUGUGGCCGAAAGGCCGGCGGCGUACGGGAAAGGGCAUCUCCGCCGAAGUGCGGUUUCUUCCCCCGCGCUGGGCAUACGGGAGAAUACCCGCAUGACUGUCACCGUCCGUGAAGCGCUAUUU